rnacentral:rRNA from 1 species
GAGGCAGCAGUGAGGAAUAUUGGUCAAUGGGCGGAAGCCUGAACCAGCCAAGUCGCGUGAGGGAUUAAGGCCCUGCGGGUCGUAAACCUCUUUUGCCGGGGAGCAGUGGUCCGGACGCGUCCGGGCCGGGAGAGUACCCGGAGAAAAAGCAUCGGCUAACUCCGUGCCAGCAGCCGCGGUAAUACGGAGGAUGCGAGCGUUAUCCGGAUUUAUUGGGUUUAAAGGGUGCGUAGGCGGGCAUUUAAGCCGGCGGUCAAAUGUCGGGGCUCAACCCCGGCCUGCCGUCGGAACUGGGUGCCUUGAGUGGGCGAGAAGUAUGCGGAAUGCGUGGUGUAGCGGUGAAAUGCAUAGAUAUCACGCAGAACCCCGAUUGCGAAGGCAGCAUACCGGCGCCCUACUGACGCUGAGGCACGAAAGUGCGGGUAUCGAACAGGAUUAGAUACCCUGGUAGUCCGCACAGUAAACGAUGGAUGCUAUCUGUCCGGGCCGAAUGAGGCCUGGGUGGC